CUCCGGCCUCGCAGUUUCGAGCCAAGUUUUCUGCCAUGCACACGACCGAACUUUGAUAGUUUUAGUUUUUCGAACUUAGGUUUAAGGAUAUUUAUUACGUGUGAUUUGUGUGACCCCUGUAAGCAUCGACGCAUGUUUGUGGAUUUAUAUGUUAGCGAGUCGCAAUGUCGAUUAACGAAAUCACGAUCUCUGCCACACUCUCGGACAACGACUUCCCCCACGCGACAAUGACCCCACCCACGUCCGACGGCGGUGCGCAGGGACGUGCCACGGAGGAAACGACGACCCCCACGACCACGUCUAGGCAAGGGACGGAGCAGCAUGAGACGCAGGCGGGACAGCACCACCGGAGCGUCCCCCUGCUGGCGCGACUGCCCAAGCUGAAGCGAGAAAAGUCCUUCUCAGAAACGCUUGAGAGGAAGAAGAAGAAGGUUAAGUUCUCCACGAGUGACGAUAAUGAUGAUGUCAUCGUGGACACGCGCGUGUACGACCCUCACGUGGAUCCCAUCGGUGACUGCGGCGAGGACGAGGACGACCGCGCACUUCCUUCCCCCUUCAAGAAGUUCCUCAGGAAAAAGUCCAAGAAAAGGAAGUCAACGAUUGAAACCCAGACGGAAAAUGUGAAUGACCCCGCAUGGAAAGAAAAAGGCAAAAGCGACUCCAAGGUGAGGAAGAAUGGCGACAGUAAGGAAGGCUCGAUGUGUGUCGGUGAGGGCGCCGACACUGAGCAGACCCUCCCUCCAUGCCCCACUGAGAGAGGCACACCCGGAGGUGACAGAGAGAGGGCCGCCGAGGAACACGCCUCCUGCGGCCGCCCCUCGACCACCACCACAUCGGAGCACUGCCCUGCCAAACGCUCACAUGAGUCUGCAAGCCUGACGCGUCCCGAACCUGGCGAGGAAAAGAGUGCCAAGUGUGAUGUCAGCAGUGAUGCUGCGGCGUCCACAGUGCCAUAUCCCGCAGCGACUGAAGGAAGCGAGAGCGUGCCUGUGUUUAGUGAGAGUGACGAAUGUGUGUGUGCCCCUGAAGGGCGCCCUGACCCACUUGUACCUGAUCAGAGUUGUGAAUACAUCGAUAAGAAGCUUCACCAAGACAAUCAAGUUCCGGUAUCUCCAUGCCAACCAGUAGAAGGUAGUGUGAGGCCCAGCAGCGAUACCCCUGACGAAUGUCGGCCCAACUCGGGGACUCAGGAGCUUAACGCUUGCAGUGAGGCGGACUCACUACCACAGCAAAAUGGGCGUUUGCUUGAUGAUGUGGAACUUUCACCAAGAACGCCUGAAACUCAAAAAGACCCAAGUGUCACCUCUUGUCCGGCGACCGUCAAGCGCGAGGGAACCUUCACCCUCGACGGUCCCCCUCCAGCCAAGAUCACGAAGUCUGCUGACGACGCUGCCGGCGAGAAUGCAGCGCCAGCCGGAGAUCAAGUUGUAGAUCCUCUGCAGUUCUUCAUUCCUCUAGUCACUUCUGAGUCUAGCUCAGAUAAUGUAACCUCAGGAAAACCCGUAAAGAAAGAAUUCCCUGCACCUUUAUCUAAGUCCAGAGAAAACAGGUCUAUGAAACCCCAAGAAACAAAGAUGAAAAACGGGACUCCGCAACCCCUAGAAGCAAAGAGAAAUAACAGAUAUGUGAAAACCGAAGACAAAAAGACAAAGCUCCAGGACCAAUCUUCUACCGCAACAGUAUUAAAAAGUAGUGCAAAACAGACUUUGGCGAACGUGUGGAGAACCACCGUCAAACCUCAGGAGACUCCAAAGAAACCACCGAAGCCCACGCCGAAGCCAGCUUGCAGAGUAUCCCUAGUAAGUGAGGCUGCGGCUAAGAGGCAGCAAGACAAGCCAACGGGAACCAUCUUACUAAGGAGGCGAGAGACUUCCAAACCGGUGGCCGACAAGGAGAAACCGGUGAGCUCGAUACAGGGAAAGGAGCAGCGCGAGUCCCAGCGACCCAGCAGGAGCCCCACUAAGACUACUCCCCGGCAAGACUUCCUCAGGAGGUCAACGGAGAAGAGCUCGAUGUGGGCUGCUGUGUCUCUGCCCUCCUUCAAGAGAGAUGGUACCUUCACCAAGAAGUACGACACAGAGAAGGACAGACUGCAGGCGGAAUGUUCUAAGCUCAGCGUUGAAAAAGACAGGCUUCAGAGCGAACUGCACGAGGCCCGCACGAGGCUGGAGGAAGAGAUGGCAGCGAGAAAGGCUCUCAGACGCACUCACGAACUCAACCUCCGACAGCUGAGAGAAGGAGAGCUGAGAAGGACAGAGGUACUUCUCGCUGAUAUGAAAAACAGACUGGAGGACGAGAAACGCGAGUCGCUAUUGCAACAGAAGGACGCCCUGUCCAGGUGCCAUGAGAACGAGCUGAUACGUGCCGAGAGGGAGCGGGAGGAGAGUCACCGGAAGGUCCUCCUGGAAGCCCGCACGGCGCAGGAGAGGCUGAAGGCGGAGAUGAGGCGGGAGGCAUGCAGACCGGAGCCUUCCCUCUCGCCCUGCUGCCGCUGCUCUGACCGUGACCUGGAGCGCAUGAACAGAGACUUGUCUACGCUGCGGGAACACAAGAAGAGGCUGGAGGAGGCUCUGCAGACCCUUCAGGAGAGCGAGCGGCAGCGGGCGGGGGAGCUGCGGCGGCUCCACGAUGAACAUGAGGUCGCUGUGGCCAAGAUCCAUCGGGCCAACAAGUCUGAGGGAGCUCGUCUGUUGGAUGAACUUCGAUCCAAGGAGCGCUCUAUCACCAUCCUGGAGCGGCAGGUGGCGGCGCAGGCCUCCAAGCUACGCCAUCUGGAGGAAAAGUUACAGCAGCGGGACGGCAGCAGCGACCGGGUUGACGACUCCGCCAGGAAGCAAACGACUCGCGGCGGCGGAGGGUCCGGGGCGAGUGGCAAGAGACAGAAGGAGGGUGCCGCCAGUGCGAAGGAUGGAGGGAAGGCGAGAGACAAGGAACAAUGUGCCGGCAACAACAACAUCAACAACAACAACCACAGCAACAGCAACAGCAGCACGCCUUCCCACCUCGCCCAUCCCAACCAACCAAUCGCCCUAUUCCUGGAGGCCGUAGGCGAGGCGUCCAUCACCGCCAUGAGCCUCGACCUUCACCCACCUCCUGCAGCCGCCGACAUGCCCGCUCCGACCACCCCCGACAAACCCUACCCGGACCACCAUGACCACCCCUUAGGCCCUCCACAGGUGCCCCCUGAGAUCUUGGCUGAAAUGGAGCAGCUGAGACAAGACCUCGAGCACCAGAAGACCCAGAACGAGGAGCACCUUCAGCAAUUGGCUCAGCAGAAGGAGGAGUUUGAGGAGGAGCGGAAGCAGUUGCGUGAGGAGAAUGAGAAGCUACAGCAGGAAUAUGAGGCUGAGAAGAACACCCUGGAGGAGGAGGUCGGGGAGAAGGUGCAGAAGGUUGAGGAGCAGCAGCGGGUGAUGGAUGCGCAGAAGCAGGUGAUGGAGGAGCAAAAGCAGGUGAUGGAGGAGCUCAAGAUGAUGAUGGAGGAGCAGCAAGUCAGGAUUGUGGAACUGGAGACUGAGUGCCUGGUGCCACCGCCCCUACCCACCACUUGGCACCGGCGGGAGUCCUGCGUCAAGGUGUCUGAGUUGCCCACCGUCAUGGAGCAGAACAGCGAUGACGAGUGCAGCUCCUCCUCCUCCACGCCCACUGAGUCCACGCCCCCAGACCCGCCCUUCGCUCUCGAGGACGACCCACCUGAGCCAUCUUGCCUCUCCACGUCGGCAGCCACGCCCCUGGAGCAGCUUACCUGGCCUGAGAUCCCUGCCGAUGAGAUGGCCGCGCAGUACGCCCUGUUGUCGCGAGAGCACCAAGGACUGCAGAAGUCCUACCAGUUGCUCGCCUCCACUACAGCGGCCGCGUCCUCCUCACCAGAUUACCAUGCCAGAGAUGGCACGGCGGCUCUGUGGCUCUCGGCUAAAGUGCUGGAGCUGGAGGCUGAGGCGACGAAGCUGCGUGAGGAGCUGCAGGACACGAGGGACCACGCCGACCUGCUGGAGUUCCGCUGCCUGGAGCUGACAGAGGGCGCCGAUAAGAGUUCGGAGUUUGGGUCAGCGUUGGAAACUCGUGACCAGUCCACCAACACCGAGGCGGAUGAGGUCACCACUCCCACCACCAAUGAGGAUCUCUCACUCCCGCUCUCCAUAGACUCCGGGCUCGACCUCUCCAGUGAUUACAAGAAGGCGCGGGUGUCAGAGGCGCGGGCGUGGUUGGCUCAAUUGUCGCGAGCUGCGGGAGAGGAAGAAGCUCCUGCCGCCCUCCACCUGGCUGCUCUGCUUGACUGGGUGGCGACGCUUCCCCUGCAGCCCCACCAUGCCCUGUCCUCGCCGGUGAGCCCCACGCUGCCCACGCCCCCUUCUCCCAGCAAAGCCGGGAUGGGUGUGGAGGAGCUUGGAUGUGACGUGGGGCGGGACCUGAUGGUACUUGCUACCCGCCUACAGGAGUCCCUAGCUGAUCCCGCCGCUCAGGAGGCCGUCCUUCUGGACACCAUAACGAAGCUGCGUGUACUGGACAGUUCCCUCUGCCAGCUGCAGGACCGAGUUGUCACUCUGACGGAUGAAAACCGUGAGCUGCAGGAGGCGGUAGCCAGUCUGAGCGAGGCUCAGGAGACCCGCACCGAAGCAUCUGGUACAGAGAGCGAACUGGUGCACCGCAAGACGCCUUCCAUCCACUCCGAUCUGAGUGACGCAGAGCUCAGCGACUCACCAGAACAUGUUCAGCAGGCGCGUCCCGGAAAGAUGCCUCUGGAAGCCGCCACCAGUUUCCAGGAAUCUGGGAUCUUUGAUACAUCCUGUGAACUGGUUCACGUCACCACACAGACUGACCUGUCGCAGGUCGAGGCCGUGUUUGCGUCCGAGGCAGAACUCCACAAGGCAGAAUGUGAACUACAGCAAGAUGUUGACCUUCAGAGUGCAGUUGCUCGCUUGGCUGCAAUUAGGUCGGCUGUCCAAGGUCGUGACCUGAGACACCUCAGACUGCAAGAUUUGCAGGAGAGUGACGAGUACCUCAUGCAAUCGACCCUGGACCAGGAGCAGGUGACGCUCAGCAAGACGGAGUAUGACAGCAUUGUGGAGAGUGAACGGCGGCUCCGGCAAGAGAUGGAGCACCUCAAGUGUGAUAAGCAGCAGCUGGCGCUCGAAUGCGACACUCUGAAGACCCAAAUUAGAACACAAAGCUCUAGCCGAGGGACCGACGCCGAGGAAACACUCAAAGGUGAAAUUCGUGUCCUCAAACAACGGCUGUCCAUGUCGGAGAGGGCGCGCCAGGAGGUGUUCGAGGAGAAGUGUGAGCUGGAGGAGGAAGAAAACGACUCCCGCCUCAUGGUACAGAGACUGGAAUCCCAGAUGGAGGCUGCACGGGAGAUGGAGAACUUGCUGAGCGCCUCUCUCUCCCAAGAGCAGGAAAUUUCCAGAGAACUGCAGCGCCGCGUCAGGGACUUGCAGAUUCUUGACAAAGAAAAUCGUGGUCGCUAUGUUAAGUUAGAGGCAAUCAAAUGUAAGAUGGAAGAGAAGGCAGCCACACUGUCCAGUGCAAAGGAUGCUCUUGCCGCCCAGCUCACCUUUGUCAUGUACGGUUUGUUGGUAGUGGAGCAAUGGCGACGGUGGGCAACCAGGCCGCUCACCCUUGUCCCCUUCUCCAGCAAGCAAACUGGAAUGUCUUGGGAAGAGAACAAGAAUUCAUUGAAUGUAAAUGAGUAUAUGUCUGUGUGUCCCCCUGUUGUGAUGGAAUCCUGUGUACAAAAAGUCGAUGUUGGUCUUGUGGGUCAGGACGCACACAGUAGAGUUGCUCAGAAACACAUUCCUGAAGAACAUGGCCAGCGGAGGCCAGCAGAAGCAAAUGAGGAGGAACCACAAAAUAAACGCCAGAGAAGCAUCAAGACCAGAUCGCAGGGCACCAUGACAGCCAAGAAUGAGUCGGUCAGUGAGCGUGAGAAGUACUACCUGGAACAAAUUGAGAAUCUACAAAAAGAGAAAAUGAGCCUGAGGAAGGGACAUGAAAGUGAGAGGCGAAACUCUUUACAACAGCAUCAUGAUUUGGAAGGAGAAGUUCAGGAAGUGAGACAACAGCUGGCAGAAGUUGAGCAUGAGAAGUGCAAACUGUUGAUUCGCCUUGAAGAAGCACAAGAAAAGGACGAAGAAAUGAAGAACAAUUAUUUGAACAGGAUAGAAGAGUUGAAGUCUGACAUGUCUAGGUAUAACGACUUGUAUGAAAUGGAGAAGAAGGCUUUAAUUGGCGACCACAAGACAAAGCUCCUUGAAGUGGAGAAGGAGCGAGGGCGUCUCGAAGAGCGUGUCCACCAGCUUGAACUACAGAUCUCCACCUUCAGGCAGGAGCUUGAAAUUGUUGGCGCCUCUGUUGCUCACGACAUUGUUGAGAUGGACACAGAGAUGGAGACAGUCGUAUCACACAACAGCAAGUCUUCAGUGGAGAAAGCUCACUGUGCCGGAGAAAUUGUGGAGAAAAUAAGGCAGUUGGUUAAAUCAGAGACUGGUCUUCGACAGAGAAUUUAUGACCUCGAGAAAAAGGAAUGUGCAUACCGGGAAACAAUCAGAGAAGCCGACAAGAUCAUGUCCAGUCACGUGACGUCUUACAAGCAACAAAUUGAAGACCUGCAGGCAAAGGCAAGUCAGCAGGCUGCCAAGAUCCAGCAGAUGGAAGCCUCAGAGGAGCGCCUGCGAACCACAAUGAGGACCAACAGCAGAACCAGUGAUGGUGCUCGCAUUUCAGACCUCCUGGAUAGGCUGAUUGAAACUGAAAACUCUGAAUUGAAGCUCAAAGAGAGAGUGUGGAACUUGGAGAAAAGUGAAAAAGAACUACAAAUCAAGCUCAUGGAAGGUGAGAAGAAAAACCAGGUACUUCGCGGGGAGUUACGAGACCAAGAGGAACUCGUGCACCGCAUGAUGACACUGGAGACAGAAAACAAUGCACUCUCCACAGAACUAAGCCAGGCCCAGGAUUCCACUCGCAAAAUGUCAGAAAUGCAGCAGAAUGAAAGUUAUCUUCGAGGACGAGUUGAAGAACUUGAAGUAACAGAAAAUAUGCUGAGAGAGACACUUCAACAAGCAGACCAGAUUCUGGCUCAGAGGGAAAGAAAGCUUAGAGACCAGGUGUCAUCUCUGCAAGAAGAAGUUCAGUCUUACAAGGCACAGUUGGAAGCAGCAGCAUCCAAAGAACAUGGUGCUAGGGAGUCAGAACUGUCAUACAGGAAGCAGCUUGAGGAGUUGAGGACACGUCUAGCUGAGGCAGAACGGGAUUUGAUGGAGUCCUCCUCAGAAACCAUUAGUCAUGAAACACAACAUAGAUCAGAGGUAACAAAACUCCGUAAUCAGUUGAAACUGUGCAACUCCCAACUGCUUGAACUUGAUAGACUCAACUGUGAGCUCAGGGAUCGGGUGAUGGCAGCAGAACUUGAGGGUCAGCGUUUAGCCAAGGAGUUAGAAGAACAUGGGAGACGGCACGAACAAGAUCUUCUUAAUUUCAAUCUUCAGGUGUCAUCUCGAGACUCCCGCCUGGAAGAUCUGGAGCACCAAUUGGAGCAGAUGAGUCAUGAUCAUGCUGCAAGUGAGCUGGAUGCUCUUGAUGCCAUGCCCAUUGCUGCUCUUCACACAUCCAUCACAGCACUCACCACAGCCGUUAAAAGUUGCAAGUCAUGCAGUGCAGCUCAGAGUGAAACCUUGGUUGAUGUAACAAAGCAGCUAGGAACCCUCACAGAGCUGCUGGAGGGUGAAUCCAACAACCCAGAUGUUAUGGAUGAAACGUCAGAUAUUGAAGAGGAGGAUAUAUCAGACACAGCAGAAAACUUGGCCCACGAAGCCACAACGACCCCCCCUCCUGAUCCCGCUAGGGAGGGAUCCAGGGAAGAGUUCAGCGGGGACUCUGUCAGUAUGAAGCUUCGGAGAAGUGCCCGAUGGAGAAACAGGAGACGCCUUGAGGAUCCCAGUGGCCAGAGACGAAUGGGCCCUCAGGGGUCAUCCACCAUCUUGGAGGAACUUGAAGAGAAGGUUCGUGAGCUGGAGGAGGCACUUGGCCGCAAAGAAGAGGAGCUACGGCUAGCAGAUGUUGAAGCCUGUGAAAUAAACAGUCAGUUGGAAGCCAGAGAUGCUGCUUUAGCCCAGAAGAUCCAAGAAAUUGAGCACCUCAAUAUUACCCUGGCAAGUCUCCGUCUACAGUUGGUUGCCACUUUAGAAGAUGCUGAAAAAGCAAGAAGUUCACUUGAAGGCAAACAUAAGGUAAAGCUUGAGGAACUAACAAACAAGGUAGAGGAAAUUACUAAGAAGGCUGAGUGUCUGGCUGGCCACUGCCACCUCAAGGACUCAAUCAUCUUCACGUUAGCUUCACAAAUUCGUGCAAUCCUCAGGUCAGGGAAUAUGGGUGUUAUCAUUAAUCAGCUACAUCGGCUGAAUGAAGUCAGUGAGAGCAAGGAAUCAGAUGGCAAAGUGAAGGAAAAGCAGAUGCCACCAGUAUCUGAUUUUGAUGUGGAAACAGUCUGCUCUUUCCUUACUCAACCUAAUGAGGCUAUGGAAACAUAAAAGGUUUGGGAUACAGCAUUAACACGAGAUGGCUUCCUUACCUCAGUCUACCAUCUCAAAUGGGAUGGAGCCAUCUAGUCUCGUGACUCUUCAAACUGACACUUCACUUGCUCCUUCUCACUCUAAGCUGGAGCACACUAGUCACGUGAUCCCCCAAGGUUCUCCAUCACUGGUCCAGCAAAGGAAAUCACGUAUACCACGAUUCAUGCCUCCUUGCAUAUCUAGUGGAAAAUGUGCACCAACUGCACCCACACCUAAACCUCAGUCUGUUUCCAUUUCCAUGCAAGUGUCUAACUUGCCUCAAAAAAUGAUUAAAACAUCUCAAACUGAAACUCUGGUCAAAACAAGGUCAGUUGCUGAGCAUACAGUAAAGACUGUAUCCCAUCCUUUGCACGGAGUUAAGUCUGCACCUGUAAUAAAACAGGAAGUAAAGCUCACACCUGAUGCUACAAGUGUUAUGAAGCCCCUGGCAACUUCUACUCCAGCUAGACCUACUGGCAGAAAGAUCCCAUCCAGACAAGAGCGAUCAAGAUUCCUGUCUGAUGCUCGCAGAAUCAAACGCAUGGUGACUGGUGUGGUGCCAUUAGAUGCUGCAGUGGAUUGUGCCUCAGCACCAGAGUGGAGAGAACGGUCACCAUUAGGAAACUCAUCUGAAGUAGAGGCCACAUGUGUUCCCCGACCACACAAUCUCCACAUCACACGCAGAGUUGGUGUAGAUGGGGUUGUCAUCGCUUGGGAUCCUCUAGAACAUGACUGUGUUGCAGGAUUUCAAGUCCUAGUGGGUGGUCGAGUGGUUCAGCACGUCAGGUCUCCUCACCGCACAAAAGCCUUGGUCACUGGACUCCCUCUGGCAGGCUCCUUCACAAUUGGCUUGGUUGCUGUAGCAGAAGAUGGCCGAUGCUCCACACCUGUAAUUGUUACCCAGGAUCGGUCAAGAUUGUACCCCUGCAGAAAUGUUACUUCUGGACACACUGUUAGAAGAAGCAUCACAACCUCUCUUUAAGAUUGGACAUAUUUAUAUAUUUAACAAAGUAAUUUUUUGAAAGCCCCAGAACCAUCUCAUAGAUAUCUUGUGGCUUUCCAAAAGUAUUGUAUUAUAGUUUAAUAAAUUUUGCAUUGUGUGAAAGGUCGUAGUAAAAGUUAGCAACUGUUGUUGAAAAAUACAUUCACACCGAGUUUCUGAUCGGAAAUUUUUGGUAUCUCUCCCAGAACCAAGCUUAAAGUGAACAAGUCUUCCUAUUAAUGCAAGCCUUAAACAUUGUCCUGCCAAACUGACAUUUAGAGAUGUGAAACCUGCAAAUUUUUAAAAACACAAGCCUUAAAAUGCAUGCAACUAACACCAUAGUAUAUGAAGUUUUUUUUUAUUUUUUUGAAGUUCAAGAAAGUUAUUAUUCAAAGUGUGUUGUGUACCAUCUAAACUAGCUGAAGUUGUGUAUUAUUUGAUUUUAAUAAGUAUUUUGUGUUUUUUAUCCACCUGUAUCAGCUUGAGUACUACCCAGGCAGUGUUGACUUUUUAUGGUUUAGGAUCAAGUUUUUUUGUGAUGAAUGAAUGCUUAAAUCCUUGUCAAUGUAGAAGGAAAAGUUGUUUCAGCACAUAACACUACUGACCAAGGUACCACCCAAGUUGCCUGUUACAAACUGUGUGCAUUAUGAAAAAUUUGGUCUGGAGAAAUUUGCAGAGAAUGGGUUUGUAGAAUUGAGUUGAAGGUAAAAAUAAUGCAUUUUGAUAUUUUUUACAACUGUAUUCACUGAGUAUAAUUUAGUAUAAUUUAUUGGAUGUGCAAAUAGAUCUCCAGGUCAGAUUAGAAAUUCUAGCAUGAAUUGUGUAAACAAGGUCAGUUUUUGGGCUUGUAGUUAGCUCACUGUUUAAUGUUUUGUGAGAUAUAGUAAUUUGUUAUUGUUAAAUUUCAGAAAUGUUUAAGGAAGAUCCAAAAUUUUUGAUAUGUGAUUACGUAUCAGAUUGCAUAUAUUUAACAUUACAAAAUGUAAAUAUUUUAUAUAGUGCCAAAUGAAAAAUUCAAUUAUUUAUGAUAACUUGCAGUUCAGAAUCAGGAAUGGUAUUUAAAUUUCUCUGAAGUGUAUAUAGAAUUUGUAUUUGAAAAUUGACCUUAUCCUGA